GUCGGGAAUGGUGGCACGUGCCUGUAGUUCCAGCUACUCGGGAGGCUGAGGCUGGAGGAUCUCUUGAGCCCAAGAGUUCUGGGCUGUAGUGUGCUAUGGCGAUCAGGUGUCUGCACUAAGUUCGCCCUCAAUAUGGUGACCUCCCGGGAGCAGGGGACCACCAGGUUGCCUAAGGAGGGGUGAACCGGCCCAGGUCGGAAACGGAGCAGGUCAAAACUCCUGUGCUGAUCAGUAGUGGGAUGGCGCCUGUGAAUAGCCACUGGGCAACAUAGCGAGACCCCGUCUCUU
ensembl:misc_RNA Metazoa_SRP Metazoan signal recognition particle RNA